rnacentral:rRNA from 1 species
GACGAACCGAGCGAACGUUGUUCGGAAUCACUGGGCUUAAAGGGCGCGUAGGCGGGCGGCUAAGUCUGUGGUGAAAUCCUCCAGCUCAACUGGAGAACUGCCAUGGAUACUGGUCGUCUCGAGGAACGUAGGGGUAUGCGGAACUAUCGGUGGAGCGGUGAAAUGCGUUGAUAUCGAUAGGAACUCUGGCGGCGAAGGCGGCAUACUGGACGUUUUCUGACGCUGAGGCGCGACAGCGUGGGGAUCAAACAGG